GACGAACGCUGGCGGCGUGCUUAACACAUGCAAGUCGAACGGAAAGGCCUCUUUCGGGGGGUACUCGAGUGGCGAACGGGUGAGUAACACGUGAGUAACCUGCCCUUGACUUUGGGAUAACUUCAGGAAACUGGGGCUAAUACCGGAUAGGAGCUCCUGCUGCAUGGUGGGGGUUGGAAAGUUUCGGCGGUUGGGGAUGGACUCGCGGCUUAUCAGCUUGUUAGUGGGGUAGUGGCUUACCAAGGCUUUGACGGGUAGCCGGCCUGAGAGGGUGACCGGCCACAUUGGGACCGAGAUACGGCCCAGACUCCUACGGGAGGCAGCAGUGGGGAAUAUUGCACAAUGGGUGGAAGCCUGAUGCAGCAACGCCGUGUGCGGGAUGACGGCCUUCGGGUUGUAAACCGCUUUCGCUCAUGACGAAGCUUUGUGUGACGGUAGUGGGUAAAGAAGCACCGGCUAACUACGUG
rnacentral:rRNA from 1 species